UGAGGAAUAUUGGGUCAAUGGGGCGAGAGCCUGAACCAGCCAAGUAGCGUGCAGGAUGACGGCCCUAUGGGUUGUAAACUGCUUUUAUAAGGGAAUAAAGUGAGUCUCGUGAGACUUUUUGCAUGUACCUUAUGAAUAAGGACCGGCUAAUUCCGUGCCAGCAGCCGCGGUAAUACGGAGGAUGCGAGCGUUAUCCGGAUUUAUUGGGUUUAAAGGGUGCGCAGGCGGCGUGCCAAGUCAGCGGUCAAAGUUCCGGGCUCAACCCGGUGAUGCCGUUGAAACUGGUGUGCUUGAGUGCGUGCGAGGGAGGCGGAAUGCGUUGUGUAGCGGUGAAAUGCAUAGAUAUGACGCAGAACUCCGAUUGCGAAGGCAGCUUUCCAGCACGCCACUGACGCUGAGGCACGAAAGCGUGGGGAUCGAACAGGAUUAGAUACCCUGGUAGU
rnacentral:rRNA from 1 species